GGGCCCGUGGCCUAGUCCGGAUAGGGCGGCAGCCUCCUAAACUCAUUGGAGAAAGCUGCAAGUCGCGGGUUCAAAUCCCGCCGGGCCCG
rnacentral:tRNA from 1 species